GCUAUAUUCAACAAUUCUAAACAGCAUGACCAGAUGCAAGCAUUCAGCCCUCCAAGAGAAGCGCACUGUUACUCUGUUACACACGUUGGCUUACUUUAGGUCUCAGAAAACUAGUAAAUUACAGAAGGAUCUUGGUUUGUACCUCCACCUGCAUGGACUGCCAAGAUCUGCCCUCAACAGUGGCCUUCUGACUAGAUUUGGAUGUGCACCAAGAACAAUAGACUCAUACAAUAAAGCUAAAAAAAAAAAAAAAAAACUAUCCAGAACUGCUCACCUAACUCAAUUAACUCCAAAGCAUGGUCAUGUUUUGUAGAUCCAAAUAACUGUUGAGAUAAUCAAAACUGCACAGUAAAUAGAGGUGAUACUGAAAUAUUAAGACUUACUUGUGGUCACACCUUCCACGAUGUCUGUUUACAAACAAAUGACCAGCUAUGUCCAUUCUGCACCACCUCCAUCCUAGAGAAAGUUAAGACACUUUCCGAUGCCUUCAAUAAGAGUAUUAUAAGCCCAACGAAAAUGACAGAUCCAGCCAGUAUAUCAGAUCAGUCCAAUACACCAGACAUUGUUGAUGAAAUUAAUACUUCCUCAAGUAAACCUGCAGAAUAUUACUA